rnacentral:misc_RNA from 1 species
AACACUGUUAACCUGCGGUACCUGCGGAAGGAUCAUUACCGAGUGCGGGUCCGCGUGGCCCAACCUCCCACCCGUGCCUAUUGUACCCUGUUGCUUCGGCGGGCCCGCCAGCCUUCGGGCUGGCCGCCGGGGGGCGUCUCGCCCCCGGGCCCGUGCCCGCCGGAGACCCCAACAUGAACCCUGUUCUGAAAGCUUGGUGUCUGAGUGUGAUUGUUUGCAAUCAGUUAAAACUUUCAGCAA